GAUGAACGCUGGCGGCAUGCUUAACACAUGCCAGUCGAACGGGAAGUGGUGUUUCCAGUGGCGAACGGGUGAGUAACGCGUAAGAACCUGCCCUUGGGAGGGGAACAACAACUGGAAACGGUUGCUAAUACCCCGUAGGCUGAGGAGCAAAAGGAGAAAUCCGCCCAAGGAGGGGCUCGCGUCUGAUUAGCUAGUUGGUGAGGUAAUAGCUUACCAAGGCGAUGAUCAGUAGCUGGUCCGAGAGGAUGAUCAGCCACACUGGGACUGAGACACGGCCCAGACUCCUACGGGAGGCAGCAGUGGGGAAUUUUCCGCAAUGGGCGAAAGCCUGACGGAGCAAUGCCGCGUGGAGGUGGAAGGCCUACGGGUCGUCAACUUCUUUUCUCGGAGAAGAAACAAUGACGGUAUCUGAGGAAUAAGCAGCGGCUAACUCUGUG
rnacentral:rRNA from 1 species